GAUGAACGCUGGCGGCGUGCCUAAUACAUGCAAGUCGAGCGAACAGAUGAGGAGCUUGCUCCUCUGACGUUAGCGGCGGACGGGUGAGUAACACGUGGAUAACCUACCUAUAAGACUGGGAUAACUUCGGGAAACCGGAGCUAAUACCGGAUAAUAUAUUGAACCGCAUGGUUCAAUAGUGAAAGACGGUUUUGCUGUCACUUAUAGAUGGAUCCGCGCCGCAUUAGCUAGUUGGUAAGGUAACGGCUUACCAAGGCAACGAUGCGUAGCCGACCUGAGAGGGUGAUCGGCCACACUGGAACUGAGACACGGUCCAGACUCCUACGGGAGGCAGCAGUAGGGAAUCUUCCGCAAUGGGCGAAAGCCUGACGGAGCAAUGCCGCGUGAGUGAUGAAGGUCUUCGGAUCGUAAAACUCUGUUAUUAGGGAAGAACAAAUGUGUAAGUAACUAUGCACGUCUUGACGGUACCUAAUCAGAAAGCCACGGCUAACUACGUG
rnacentral:rRNA from 1 species